rnacentral:piRNA from 1 species
UGCUUUAUCUGGUUUCCUGAUAUUUCAA